CGCUUUCUAUUUCUUCUUUAUUUCACAUCGUCAUAUAUAUUUCUUCUUCGUUUCACAUUGCCUUGUUUCAAUCGUUAAAAGCUUUUCAAGAUGUUAUGGGUUCCGAGUCUGUGCAACUAUCAAGUUCUUCUUCUCAUUCUAGGAGGAGAAGGAUGCAUUGUUACUGUGGGUUGGAUUCACCUUUUGUGACUGCAUGGACAUCUCAGAAUCCAGGGUGAAGGUUAUAUGAUUGUGGGUUGUACAAGGAAAGUAUGUUCAUUUUUUGAAUGGUAUGGUGAGCAAAUUUAAGACUUGUCAUAGGAAGUGAUUAACUCACUUUUGAAGGAGAAUUGAAGAAGAGUGGUGGUUCAGCUAAGGAGAUCGAUGAUGAAUUCAAAAAGAAGAUCAAGAUUUUGGUUAUUGCUUUGGUUUUGUCUUGAGUUUUGAUCAUCAUUUUGAUCACAAAAAACUUGAUGUAAUUUUGUAGAACAAGUUGUGAUGAUGUUAUAGUUAUGUUACUAUCAAGGUAUUGUAAUGAGGAUUUUUUGUAAUGUUAUUGGGAUUUUAAUGAGGUUAUCUUGUAAACUCAAUGUAUAAUGAGGUUAAUUUAUAAUAUUAAUGAUAUUUGGAUGAA